rnacentral:rRNA from 1 species
GACGAAGGUGGCUAGCGUUAUUCGGAUUCACUGGGCAUAAAGCGCGCGUAGGCGGCUCUUCAAGUCGGGGGGUGAAAGCCUGCAGCUCAACUGCGGAACUGCCUUCGAUACUGUCGAGCUUGAGUGCAGGAGGGGUGAUCGGAACUCCAGGUGUAGCGGUGAAAUGCGUAGAUAUCUGGAGGAACACCGGUGGCGAAGGCGGAUCUCUGGGCCAUUACUGACG